UACGUAGGGUGCAAGCGUUAAUCGGAAUUACUGGGCGUAAAGCGUGCGCAGGCGGUGAUGUAGGACAGAUGUGAAAUCCCCGGGCUCAACCUGGGAACUGCAUUUGUGACUGCAUCGCUGGAGUACGGCAGAGGGGGAUGGAAUUCCGGCGUGUAGCAGUGAAAUGCGUAGAUAUGCGGAGGAACACCGAUGGCGAAGGCAAUCCCCUGGGCCUGUACUGACGCUCAUGCACGAAAGCGUGGGGAGCAAACAGG
rnacentral:rRNA from 1 species